AACGAACGCUGGCGGCAGGCUUAACACAUGCAAGUCGAGCGCCCCGCAAGGGGAGCGGCCGACGGGUGAGUAACGCGUGGGAACGUACCUUUUGGUUCGGAACAACUCCGGGAGACUGGAGCUAAUACCGGAUAAGCCCUAACGGGGAAAGAUUUAUCGCCGAAAGAUCGGCCCGCGUCUGAUUAGCUAGUUGGUGAGGUAACGGCUCACCAAGGCGACGAUCAGUAGCUGGUCUGAGAGGAUGAUCAGCCACACUGGGACUGAGACACGGCCCAGACUCCUACGGGAGGCAGCAGUGGGGAAUAUUGGACAAUGGGCGCAAGCCUGAUCCAGCCAUGCCGCGUGAGUGAUGAAGGCCUUAGGGUUGUAAAGCUCUUUUGUCCGGGAAGAUAAUGACGGUACCGGAAGAAUAAGCCCCGGCUAACUUCGUG
rnacentral:rRNA from 1 species